AGAACAAGCCCAUCUUGCUGCUUAGAUGGAAAUCAUUGCUUUCCAUGCCUUAGAAUUUCAUCUUGCUCAAGCCCCAUUUACACCCGGCACCUGCCUUAUCCCUAGUUCCUACUCCACCGUUGUCUUUAUACCAAAUGGUCCUUCCUGCUGUCGAAGUUACUAGGCAGGGGUAAGCACUAGAGAAAUAUAUGAGAGAGAGUCAUGGUACGUGUUUCUUACGAGGAAGGCAUUCCUUUCCCCAUUCUCAUGGAGGUAACGGUUCUUGGAUCUUUCCCCUAUUGUCGUUGUCGUUCUCUGGCUUAUAUCAAAGGAGGAGAAACUCUUUUCCCUUUUUACUAUCUUGCCUCCACCGGGAUCGCUCGCUCGGAGAUGGAGCAUUGACCUGUUGGGAUUUGCAACGUUUUGGAACUCUCUGUUCUGCUGGCUGUCCUCCUAGUGUGGCAAUGCAAGCUUUGCUCUUGCGUUCCUGCCAAGAGAUUGGCUUGUACCAUUUCCUGGACACCCAUGAUGUUAUUUUUGGUAUUUUGAACAUGUAAUAAUAUUAUUGUCAUGUCGAG
rnacentral:lncRNA from 1 species